UACGUAGGGGACAAGCGUUGUCCGGAUUUACUGGGCGUAAAGAGCGCGCAGGCGGUCGUUCAAGUCGAUUGUGAAAGCCCCCGGCUCAACUGGGGAGGGUCAUUCGAUACUGAUCGACUCGAAGGCAGGAGAGGGAAGUGGAAUUCCUGGUGUAGCGGUGAAAUGCGCAGAUAUCAGGAGGAACACCGGUGGCGAAGGCGGUUCUCUGGGAAUGAUCUGACGCUGAGGAGCGAAAGUGUGGGGAGCGAACAGG
rnacentral:rRNA from 1 species